AGGCCACUGAGACAUAACUGUGUUAAUGACACAGAUCAUUCCUCCCUGAGCUCUUCCUACCCUGGGGCCUUCCCAGUCCUGUGCCUGGUCUGCUGCUAGAGAUAAGCAGGGCACCCUGCAGCUCCUCCAGGGAUGGUGAAGGCUGGAACCUCACCAUCAAGACCUCAACUCUGGAAAAGCUUGCACCAGCAGUAAGUGGUUCAAUGUGUCACCUUUCAGAGGAGGAAGUGCACGUCAGCUCAAAGAAUCUGAGACAGGAGAUACCAAAGUCUGUGCAAGAACAGGCUGGAUCCAUGAGGAAACAAGCACAACAGAGAGACCAACUUGCCUGGCUCUCCAGCAGAAAACGUCCUGCUGUGUGUUUUUCCAAAGAGCCACAUUUCAGGUAGAUAAGUGUGAGGUAUAAAUGGAAUUUGGCUUUAGCAACAGGUCAGCGUUAACCCUGUCACUGCCCUGGGGAGCACAGAGCAGCUGCCCUAAGAGAGUGCUCACACUGAGCUACAGCCUCACAGACAGUAAAUCCAGAAGGGAGGAAAUCACGGGAUUUGCUCCGAAAGAGGAGACAGCUCAUGGCUGAGGUGGAGUCCCUUUGCUGGAGGAGUGGUUCUUUACAAGGACUGUGAGACCCGAGCCCUUCCCUGGAUACACCACAGGCUUCACCCUUCAAAGGAGGCUCUGCAGGGCUGCAAGGACAGCUUGUUCCUGUCUUUUGCAACUGAUUCACUAUAGAGAGAGAACAUCCGUCUCCAAACCACUUCUCUUGCACUAAGUUAGUACUUGACAUCAAUAGCAGGUAAAUGUGGAACAGCUCUUUGACAAAGAUGUCGGUUGCCAAACGGAGGGCUGGCUUUAUUCCCCGUGCGAGCAGCAAUGUCAGAAGAAGCUGCUCCCAGCAGAUGGCACAAGAGCUCGAGCUGCUCCAGUCUCUGCUCUCGGCAGCCUGUACCUGCCCUCAGUAGGUCUCAGCUGCUGUGGGUACCAGAAGCAAACAGUUGAUGGCACUGCAUGAUCGCUGUCCCUGCAGCUGAUGUCUCCCUGCAGCCUGAGUGAGUGAAAAACGAGGGUAUUUCACUUCCAUGCUGUGGGAAAGACACUCACAAAAUGUAAUCGCCACCUAUUAAGUAUAUUGAUUUCUUGAAUGUUCUGGUACUCAUUUUCCCAAUCUUCUUCUCUGUGUGUGAGAGUGGAUGAUUCCUGGUUGUUCUAGAGCUGUCUCUCACAGAUCACUAAAUAGUGGAUUAGGUGAUGGAUCCCACAUGGAACUGGUGUAGUGCUUUAUGGCAGCUGACACAACUGACCUGCUGGAGCUGACAGCUGGGAUGUCCACCAGAAGUCUCAUCAGUAUAUGAAGAAUUUCAUCAUUUGUCAAUGCUGGUUGUGAUGUGCUUUGAAUCGCACGUGAUGGCCCUAAGAGGGAGACUUGUAAGGAAGCAACAAGUAACAUUAAAGAGCAAAACAGUAUUUUUUAAAUUAAUAUUUCUGCAAUAGGAAAUUUUUAAAAGCUCCAAGGGAAAAAACUUCUGCAAAACAUCUUGUAUUUUCUCUGUGCAUAAGCUGCUUGUGACAUUACAGACUACUGUGAUGAAGUUAAAACUAGAAUUAGGUUAGUUAGAACUAAAAUUACAACUAAUCUGAGCUCAGGCAUAAACAUCUUGCAUAGGAUAGAACUAUUAAUAAGUUUAAUUAAAGCAACAUUUAAAGCAAAGAGCAUCAGGUUUUCCUCAUGGUCCCUGCCAACUAAAUGCUAGACUAAAUGAUACUUUCUUUGGGCAUCUUUCAGUCCUUCCUUCUGUCCAAGGAAUUCAAGUGGUUUAUUGCAGCUUCUCUAUGAAAUGUGAUUUGGGCAAAAGUCAAAUUGCUGUUUUAAUUUGAAGGUGUUUAAAGGUCUGAAGGUGACUUCAGAGAACACAGUUAAGAGCAUAAUUGCAAAGCAACUUACAAGAAGUAACUGUGGGAGUAUGAAAAUAUAAAUGACCUAAAUAGUAUAAAAUAGUAUGAUGGGAAAUGUGGUUGGAACAAAUGUCUUGGAUGGGAUAGGAAUUCAGCUCCAGGAAUGCGAUUUUGGCAGUAGUGCCCCAAACAGAGAAUGCUAUUUCUGGGGAAAUGCACUGAACUCUGGGUCAUGAAUUAAACUCAGGUAAUUUAUGUUCUGCUCAUAAAAAGUGGCAGUGCAAAAAAACAAGCAGAAAUGGAAUGGAAUAUAUUGCUGUAAAUUUUUGUAGCUGCUGGGACCUGGAGAGUCGUCGUGUGCUUCUGGUGCCAGGUAAUGCCUAAGAAAAAUUCAAGCCAAGGAAUACAUAGCAAACCCUUCAAAGCUGCCAACUCAGUGACCCUAAGGAAAUCCAGUUUCAAAGCAGCAUGUGAAGAGAGGUUUGAAGAGUCUGCUGUGCAGAACUUCCAAGCCAGUGUCUCAUCCAAGACUUGGCUGCCUGGGUCCCACAGAGCUCCAGCUUCCUCACAACCAGCUGUCUUCCAGGUGCCUUUGAAGUGGGAUUUCUGCUAGAAAAGCAGCUAUGGGAGAAAUAACCCUCCUGUGGUAAUGACAGGUAGGUCUGCUAAAGUUUUGAUAAAAUUUCACUCCUCAGCAUGUGCAAGUCAGUAGGAGAUGCAGCCAGACAAGAAACCUCCACUUGGCAGAGGGAUGUGUCCCUUUGGGAUUUGGUGAGAUCAGCUUGGACAAGACUAGGCCCCUUAUGGAAAAUUGGGAGAAAAAUCUCCUUAGUACAUGGAGUGGUGGAGCUCCUUCUUUGGUAUAAUGCAUAGGGGAGCCUGGCAUGACGUUUUCUCUGGAUGUCUCUGGGGAAAGGCAGCUUCUCUCCCAGCAAUAUGUAUCUGUUUCAGGCCAUACUUCAAAGUCCAGUCUGGGUUUUUGGUGUUUGCUUUUCUCCUUUUAAACAGGAACUAUCCAAAGGGCUAAAAAUCUGAAGCUUAAAGAACUAUACAAGCUGCCUGGAGCUCCAAAGUGGUUUUUUUAAUAAUUAGCAUAAAUGCAUUAAAUAUUUAACCUUCAUCCUGUGAAAACCCUGACUUUUAAAAAAGAAUUUACAGCACAGGGUGGAGUUUUAUCUGCUCCUAAAUAGGACAGCGAUUUCCUUCCUUCCAUUUCUGCCCCAAAUCUCAAAUUCCAGAGUGCAAUGAAUCAAUUGCAGAGGAGGAGAUGACUGUUCAUCCACCUCCCUGUGCAAUUGACUCUCAAAAACUUGAUAUUUCUCAGACGAGUCAGGGUGAGAGUUCUGAAGUAGCAGGACUCCAGCUGGAUAUCUGUUCUUUAUUCUGGCUUGUGGUUCAAGGUGUCUUUUUCUUAAUAAGCACCCGCCAGUAGACUGUUAAUAGUUUAACAGUCCACAGCUUCCAAGGAAAUGCUUGCCAGCAGUCAGAGCUGGAAAAUAACUCAGAGAAUGGCAUAGGCCUGAUAAAAGGAUUAAUAAAUCAUAGCCCUGAGAGCUGUGAGUUCAGUUUUGUCUGACACUGGCUCUAUGGAUUAUUUUGUGCAUUCAGUGCUCUUAAUUGCUUUUUCUCCCCAGAAGUUUGUGUGCAGCUCUGGGAUAGAUUUGGAGAGUUUUCCUAACAAACUGAACUAGAUUUCUUUCUAAAUUAUAUUUAAACUCUGGUCCUUACAGUAGACACUUGUAUUUGAGCUCUACUGAGGAGGCUGAAAAACAGAGAGGGGAAGGAGUGACACGUCUUCUCAUGGCAAAAGUAGAAUAUUUUUGCAGAAUAAAACUGCCAACCAUUUCAACCUAGCUCUGCUAUUCCACUUUUACUGGA